rnacentral:rRNA from 1 species
UGCCAGACUCCUACGGGAGGCAGCAGUGGGGAAUAUUGCACAAUGGGCGAAAGCCUGAUGCAGCAACGCCGCGUGAAGGAAGAAGGGUUUCGGCUCGUAAACUUCUAUCAACAGGGACGAAAGAAAUGACGGUACCUGAAUAAGAAGCCCCGGCUAACUACGUGCCAGCAGCCGCGGUAAUACGUAGGGGGCAAGCGUUAUCCGGAAUUACUGGGUGUAAAGGGUGAGUAGGCGGCAUGGUAAGCCAGAUGUGAAGGCCUUGGGCUUAACCCGAGGAUUGCAUUUGGAACUAUCAAGCUGGAGUACAGGAGAGGAAAGCGGAAUUCCUAGUGUAGCGGUGAAAUGCGUAGAUAUAAGGAAGAACACCAGUGGCGAAGGCGGAUGACUGGACGGCAACUGACGGUGAGGCGCGAAAGCGUGGGGAGCAAACAGGAUUAGAUACCCGCGUACC